rnacentral:lncRNA from 1 species
CAGCGUGCCGCUGUGGAGGAAUUGUCUGGAAACCGCUUUGAUCGCAGAUCGCAAGGCCAUGAUUCAUCAGAGAGUGAGGGGGAGGAGCUGGUCUCACCACCCAAAAGACAGAAAGUUCAGGAUGCGGCCUCCACCCCAAAUCCCCCCACCUCAACACGCACGGCCGACAGCUCUGCCCCUUCCACGGUCCCCCCUCCAACCUCUGUUGCCAGCCAAGCUCGAGAGAGUGACAACGAAGACGGCCAAUCCCAGGGCAGCAGGAGUUCAGUUGUAGGGAGCCUGGCCAAUAGCAGCAGUAGUUUGAGCAGUGGGCGGGACAUAGAUCAGGACAAUCGCUCCUCAUCCCCGAGUCUCUCCGCUUCCCCCCUGGGCAGCCUGGACUCUGAUUCGGACGGCCCAGAAUCACCAAAGCAAGGAGAGAGGGAGAGAGAGAAAGGAAAAGAGGGAGGAGUGGGGAAGUCAGCGGGGGACGAGCGGAGAACAAGCCGAGAGGGAAGAGGGGAGGAUUCCUGCGGAGACGGAGAAAAGAGGGAUGGAGAGGGCAGAGCAGAGGACGGCUCCUCCUUCAAACCCCCGUCCACCCCUUGCUCCUCCUCCCCUCUGACCCCCUCUCUCCGGGGUUCAUCGGACGCCGGCGGCGACGGCGGCGGCGGCGGCGGCGGCGGCGGGAGGAAGAACUACUUCUCCCUGGACUCCAAGCUGGUGUGCAAGGUGGAGUACGGCGGGUCGGGGGCCGGCGACACCCCGCACGGCCCCGGCCGCAUGAGCUCCAAAGGCACCGCGCAGUGCGUGAACAAGGCCGCCGUCUCCGGGGGAGACUAUCCCCACGGCAACCCCAACAUUCCACACGCGCUCCCCCAGCCCCUGCCGCCCCCGCCGGCCCUGAAGCCCCUGGAGCUGGGCGGGGCGCAGAACCUGCCCGUGGAGGUGAAGGUGGAGAGGGAGAAGCUGGAGAAGGCCGACAAGCCGGGCGACAAGGCCCAGACUAAUCCUCCAUCUUUGUUGCCACAGACGGGCCCCCAGCCCCAGUCCCAGCCUCCCCCCCACCCACACCACUACAGCUCCACCAGCUGGCAGGGUGGCACGGCCACCGGUUGCCAGGGGAGCUGGGGCUACGCCCGUUACCCUGGCAACCACCACCCACACCAGCCGCAGCACCAACCCCCAGUGCAGCAGCAGCAACUCCCCUCUGUUUACAACCCCCCGUCCUCUCGCCACUCCUCCUCCCAUCCCUCCUACCUCCCCCACCCUCACGCCCACCCCCACAGGGAGUACCUUCCCAGGUACGCCGGUGGGGGAGGAGACCGGGAGAGGGGGGCCGCAGGAGAGAGGGAGCGGGGAGUGAGGGGCGAUUGCGGGGGCAGAGAGAUCA